GUCCACAUAGCUUAGCACCAAAGCAUGGCACUGAAGCUGCCAAGACGGCACACGAACUAUGCCUGCGGACA
rnacentral:tRNA from 1 species